rnacentral:sRNA from 1 species
UGAACCGACGUAAGCAGAGGAUGAACGC